AGCGGAUAGUGAGAAUCGAACUCACAUUAGCUGCUUGGAAGGCAGAGGAUUUACCAUUAAUCUAUAUCCGC
rnacentral:tRNA from 1 species